rnacentral:rRNA from 1 species
AGUUCGGAUUGUAGUCUGCAACUCGACUACAUGAAGCUGGAAUCGCUAGUAAUCGCAGAUCAGAAUGCUGCGGUGAAUACGUUCCCGGGUCUUGUACACACCGCCCGUCACACCAUGGGAGUCGGAAAUGCCCGAAGCCGGUGACCAAACCAAUAAGGAAGGAGCCGUCGAAGGCAGGUCUGAUAACUGGGGUGAAGUCGUAACAAGGUACC